rnacentral:rRNA from 1 species
UCAAGUGAAUAAGUGCAUCAGGCGGAUGCCUUGGCGAUGAUAGGCGACGAAGGACGUGUAAGCCUGCGAAAAGCGCGGGGGAGCUGGCAAUAAAGCUAUGAUUCCGCGAUGUCCGAAUGGGGAAACCCACUGCAUUCUGUGCAGUAUCCUAAGUUGAAUACAUAGGCUUAGAGAAGCGAACCCGGAGAACUGAACCAUCUAAGUACCCGGAGGAAAAGAAAUCAACCGAGAUUCCGCAAGUAGUGGCGAGCGAACGCGGAGGAGCCUGUACGUAAUAACUGUCGAGAUAGAAGAACAAGCUGGGAAGCUUGACCAUAGCGGGUGACAGUCCCGUAUUCGAAAUCUCAACAGCGGUACUAAGCGUACGAAAAGUAGGGCGGGACACGUGAAAUCCUGUCUGAAUAUGGGGGGACCAUCCUCCAAGGCUAAAUACUCAUCAUCGACCGAUAGUGAACCAGUACCGUGAGGGAAAGGCGAAAAGAACCCCGGGAGGGGAGUGAAACAGAACCUGAAACCUGAUGCAUACAAACAGUGGGAGCGCCCUAGUGGUGUGACUGCGUACCUUUUGUAUAAUGGGUCAACGACUUACAUUCAGUAGCGAGCUUAACCGGAUAGGGGAGGCGUAGGGAAACCGAGUCUUAAUAGGGCGAUGAGUUGCUGGGUGUAGACCCGAAACCGAGUGAUCUAUCCAUGGUCAGGUUGAAGGUGCCGUAACAGGUACUGGAGGACCGAACCCACGCAUGUUGCAAAAUGCGGGGAUGAGCUGUGGGUAGGGGUGAAAGGCUAAACAAACUCGGAGAUAGCUGGUUCUCCCCGAAAACUAUUUAGGUAGUGCCUCGAGCAAGACACUGAUGGGGGUAAAGCACUGUUAUGGCUAGGGGGUUAUUGCAACUUACCAACCCAUGGCAAACUCAGAAUACCAUCAAGUGGUUCCUCGGGAGACAGACAGCGGGUGCUAACGUCCGUUGUCAAGAGGGAAACAACCCAGACCGCCGGCUAAGGUCCCAAAUGAUAGAUUAAGUGGUAAACGAAGUGGGAAGGCACAGACAGCCAGGAUGUUGGCUUAGAAGCAGCCAUCAUUUAAAGAAAGCGUAAUAGCUCACUGGUCGAGUCGUCCUGCGCGGAAGAUGUAACGGGGCUCAAAUCUAUAACCGAAGCUGCGGAUGCCGGUUUACCGGCAUGGUAGGGGAGCGUUCUGUAGGCUGAUGAAGGUGCAUUGUAAAGUGUGCUGGAGGUAUCAGAAGUGCGAAUGUUGACAUGAGUAGCGAUAAAGCGGGUGAAAAGCCCGCUCGCCGAAAGCCCAAGGUUUCCUACGCAACGUUCAUCGGCGUAGGGUAAGUCGGCCCCUAAGGCGAGGCAGAAAUGCGUAGUCGAUGGGAAACAGGUUAAUAUUCCUGUACUUGAUUCAAAUGCGAUGUGGGGACGGAGAAGGUUAGGUUGGCAAGCUGUUGGAAUAGCUUGUUUAAGCCGGUAGGUGGAAGACUUAGGCAAAUCCGGGUUUUCUUAACACCGAGAAGUGAUGACGAGUGUCUACGGACACGAAGCAACCGAUACCACGCUUCCAGGAAAAGCCACUAAGCUUCAGUUUGAAUCGAACCGUACCGCAAACCGACACAGGUGGGCAGGAUGAGAAUUCUAAGGCGCUUGAGAGAACUCGGGAGAAGGAACUCGGCAAAUUGAUACCGUAACUUCGGGAGAAGGUAUGCCCUCUAAGGUUAAGGACUUGCUCCGUAAGCCCCGGAGGGUCGCAGAGAAUAGGUGGCUGCGACUGUUUAUUAAAAACACAGCACUCUGCCAACACGAAAGUGGACGUAUAGGGUGUGACGCCUGCCCGGUGCCGGAAGGUUAAUUGAAGAUGUGCAAGCAUCGGAUCGAAGCCCCGGUAAACGGCGGCCGUAACUAUAACGGUCCUAAGGUAGCGAAAUUCCUUGUCGGGUAAGUUCCGACCCGCACGAAUGGCGUAACGAUGGCCACACUGUCUCCUCCCGAGACUCAGCGAAGUUGAAGUGGUUGUGAAGAUGCAAUCUACCCGCUGCUAGACGGAAAGACCCCGUGAACCUUUACUGUAGCUUUGCAUUGGACUUUGAAGUCACUUGUGUAGGAUAGGUGGGAGGCUUGGAAGCAGAGACGCCAGUCUCUGUGGAGUCGUCCUUGAAAUACCACCCUGGUGUCUUUGAGGUUCUAACCCAGACCCGUCAUCCGGGUCGGAGACCGUGCAUGGUAGGCAGUUUGACUGGGGCGGUCUCCUCCCAAAGCGUAACGGAGGAGUUCGAAGGUUACCUAGGUCCGGUCGGAAAUCGGACUGAUAGUGCAAUGGCAAAAGGUAGCUUAACUGCGAGACCGACAAGUCGGGCAGGUGCGAAAGCAGGACAUAGUGAUCCGGUGGUUCUGUAUGGAAGGGCCAUCGCUCAACGGAUAAAAGGUACUCCGGGGAUAACAGGCUGAUUCCGCCCAAGAGUUCAUAUCGACGGCGGAGUUUGGCACCUCGAUGUCGGCUCAUCACAUCCUGGGGCUGUAGUCGGUCCCAAGGGUAUGGCUGUUCGCCAUUUAAAGUGGUACGUGAGCUGGGUUUAAAACGUCGUGAGACAGUUUGGUCCCUAUCUGCAGUGGGCGUUGGAAGUUUGACGGGGGCUGCUCCUAGUACGAGAGGACCGGAGUGGACGAACCUCUGGUGUACCGGUUGUAACGCCAGUUGCAUAGCCGGGUAGCUAAGUUCGGAAGAGAUAAGCGCUGAAAGCAUCUAAGCGCGAAACUCGCCUGAAGAUGAGACUUCCCUUGCGGUUUAACCGCACUAAAGGGUCGUUCGAGACCAGGACGUUGAUAGGUGGGGUGUGGAAGCGCGGUAACGCGUGAAGCUAACCCAUACUAAUUGCCCGUGAGGCUUGACUC